UACGGAGGGUGCAAGCGUUAUCCGGAUUCACUGGGUUUAAAAAGGUGCGUAGGUGGGCAGGUAAGUCAGUGGUGAAAUCUCCGAGCUUAACUCGGAAACUGCCGUUGAUACUAUUUGUCUUUGAAUAUUGUGGAGGUAAGCGGAAUAUGUCAUGUAGCGGUGAAAUGACUUAGAUAUGACAUAGAACACCAAAUUGCGAAAGGCAGCUUACUACACAACGAUUGACGCUGAGGCACGAAAAGCGUGGAGAAUCGAAAUCAGGAACUUAGAAACCUCAGAUCAAGUCCAGACCAAGUCUACC
rnacentral:rRNA from 1 species